rnacentral:rRNA from 1 species
UACGUAGGGUGCGAGCGUUGUCCGGAUUUAUUGUGCGUAAAGAGCUCGUAGGCGGUCUGUCGCGUCGGAUGUGAAAACCCAGGGCUCAACCCUGGGCCUGCAUUCGAUACGGGCAGACUAGAGUACGGCAGGGGAGACUGGAAUUCCUGGUGUAGCGGUGAAAUGCGCAGAUAUCAGGAGGAACACCGGUGGCGAAGGCGGGUCUCUGGGCCGAAACUGACGCUGAGGAGCGAAAGCGUGGGGAGCGAACAGG